UUCAGAUUGGUUUGUCUGCAGUCUGCUACACUAUAUUCCAACAAAAAACACCUAAGUUGACAGAUUUUGCUCAAACAGAACCGAUAAACUUUACAACUCCUCAAGGGACUGCCUUGACAUGUAGGGAGGAUGAUGUUGGUCAGGUGGGACAGAUGGUUUACUCACUGUGGACAAUAAAAAAAAUGAGCUUCAACUCUCUUUUCCCCUUUGUAUCCUCUGGAGGGUGGGGAACUUGGGGGUUGAGUUUGUCUCUGGCUGGUGCAUUUCAGAGCAGAGGCAGAUCAGACCUCUGAUCGCUUGGCGGCGUCUCCGUCUGUGCCGCGUUUCCUCAUCCUCCAGAGGCGGGUUUGACGCCCCGUUAAAGAGGCCUCGCACACAUCAGACCAGUCACUCACAAACAGAGUGGGACUCCCGGGACGCCGCAUGCUCAUCCUUACAGCGCUCUUCCACUCACUCACUCACUCCAAAGCAGCAGCGUAGCAAAAAUAUGUUUAAGGAAAGAAGUUGGAAAAUCUUUGGGUGGAGAAUCAGAGAAGAGAGGCGCUAAAGGAAGGGUGGGGACGGAGGAGCAGAGGGAGGAGGUGUUCACUUACAGAUAUUUAAAGGCGAAGGAGAGAAGCGAUUCCCCUGGGUUCCCCUCCUUGAGUGGAAAGGAUCUGAAAGCUCCUGUUCCAGCAACACCUCCUUUUGCUUGGGGGGAGAGAAGGAGGAAGAAAAACCUGCCAGCUUUUGAUUUGAGAACAGGUUUCUAAUGAGAGGAGAUAAUCACUGAGAGAGUUGUCACUCCUUCAGAUUCCCUUUGAACAAAUUUAUUUAAUCUUUUUUCGGAAAAAACAAAUUAAACGUAAUAAUCAACGGCGAUAAUCAGACCUCAACGGCAACAAUAAGGAUAGAAAACAGCAGAUGAAAGGAGCAGGAAUCUUAAAGACAACCGAAUACUGUUUGAAAAAACACAACACGAGGAAUGUUGUGUGUAAAGUUUCUGGUCUGACGUGGUAAAUGUUGAAAUUACAACAUUUGUGGGGUCAAACGCCAGCAGCAGAAGCUCAGCACAGACAACUGACUGCUAAGUGGACCAGAGAGCACUUCAAUUCCAGUGGGUUACAAAAUGUUAAGCUAAACAGCCUCAUUUUACAUGUUCAUAAAAACGUUAGAGUGAGUCGAAACCAAAAGGACUAUCAUUUUAAUCAAAUCUCGGCCUUGUCGUGUGAUGCCGCUGAAGCUUGAAAUCCAUGUUGUCGGGGGGGCUUGGAGAAAGGGACUCAGCAGGUGGUGCCUUACAAUGUAUUUAUCCCUGACUUACAGGUAUUUCUGUUGCCGCAGUCAUUAUCUUCACUUGUAAAAGGGAAAUCAAUUUGUACAGAUGAAUAUGAGGACCGGAAGAUUGCCCAGAGGAGGAGAAGAAAGGCCUUCUGGUGGAGGAGGCAGAGCAAGAAUAAAGGACGGGUGACUUGUUAUCGGCGUGCGUGCGCGGCUUGUUUGUUUGCUCGCCUGAUUGGCUGCAGUUAGGGUGGCGAUGCAUUUCUCAGAGCAGCACAAUGAAAAAUGACUCUUUGAAUGUCGCUCUUUGUUAGAUGUUAUUGUUGUGUUCUAAACAACAGCGCGGGAUCGCUUUGACUGACUAUGAAAUUAUGUAGUUACAAAUAAACAAUAUUUCAAAGUUUUUUUUUUAUUUUUUUUAAAGAAUGUAAAAAGAAGAAUACCCGAGAAGAUUCUAUUUUGCACAAAUGUACUCUUUAUCUAUCAUAAGACCAAAAACUAAUAAAUUCUUAAAAAAAUGCUUUGUAUUUUUUAAAAGGCUUUUCAAAAAUAUCCACACUUAGGUUGUCAAGUUAUUUGCUUAAAGGCCCGCUCUGAUUUUGAACAUGUUGUUGUGGUAUUUUUCUGAUAAUGGAGGACAUAUAUAAAGAAUGUUAAUCUUAAAAUUA